AUCUUGGCUACGAAAUACUUUAUUCUAAGGUCAAGUACAAUAUCUGUUCUUAUCAGUUUAAUAUCUGAUCUGUCCUCUCUCUGAUGACAGCAUGUGAAAUGAACCUUUGGAUGUUUGGAGCAGAGAGAUGGAGCAAGAGCUUGUUCCAUCCACUCCACGAAUCAGCCUAGAAUUGCAGUACCUCCAGAAUUGCACUUGGG
ensembl:snRNA U2 U2 spliceosomal RNA